UUGUUUUAAAUUAUAUGUGAAUCAGUUUGUCACAGUCUAGUGAUACUGAUAAGAAUGACAGCCAAAUAACCUAGCAAAUAACUGUUUUAUUAGUUGUUGAAUACUAGCGCUUUGGCCAAGAAUAGUUGGAGAUUUGGAGGUGUUAGUUUAAGAUUGCUUUUAUAUUGUGUCUAUCCGUGUUUCCUAGGAGGGAGACAGAGUGUGUAGUUGUGUGCCCAUAAAUGUCAUUUCUGUAUUGGCAUAUCUGCUGGGUACCCAUUAUGUGUUUCUACAAAGAUAUUGCUUUGUGAGAUGACGUGUAAUAUUACAUUGGAUGCUGAGUAUGAGUUAUAUGGUUUGAAAUGAAUUGGUGAUUAUGAGCUUAGUACUUCAGUAAGAUGUGCUAAAAUUUGGAACAAGGUCGAAGCUGAAAUGUUGGGAUUAUGGAAGAAUAAGCAGUCUAUAUUCACUGCUUUGGCAUAUAAGCAAGAUGCAAAGGAAGAGAUUGGUAAUAUGAUUUUUGUAAAGAAAUUUUACAAGUGUUGGAAGGAUGAGGCAGGUUUGAUGUCUGGAGAUGAUAUAGAUCUCUUUAAAAUACAGUCAUGCCUUGGUAAUAUGUUGCCACAGUAUUAUUUGCUUGUGAAACAAUUGAUUUCAGACUGGGCCAAUUUGGAUAGCUCAGAGUUUCUUACCAAGGUUAUAGAAAAGGAAAAUGCAGGUUGUUCUGAAUUAAGAAAAGAUUUAGGAAAGUAAGGUUGCUUAUUAUGCUCAGGGAUUGCAACAUAUUAUGUCCAGCUACACAGGCUGAGAGCGUGGAUGGGAUGGAGCACAUAAAGCCUGUGGAAAGGGGUGGUCAAAGAGGGGCAAGGGGAUGGAGACAGGGAAAUCAGGGUUAUAGGGGUAACCAAGGAGGAAUAGACAGGAACACUUGUUUCAACUGUGGCCAAUAUGGCCACUGGAGGAAUGAGUGUCCACACCCCAGGAAACCCCAGGAAACCCCAGGAAACCCCACACACCCCAACAACCCCACCUUUCUCAAAAUAUGCCCUGUAGGCAAGAACAACACCAGACCCACUCCCAACACCACUGGCCAGCAUAUCGCUUAGUUCAGGACUUUAGAGCCCUGAAUAGUUUAAUUGUGCCCAUUUCACCCAUUGUCCCUGAUGUGACAUCCCUCAUUACAGCCAUUUCACAUGAUGCCACUUGCUUCACUGUCAUUGAUUUAAGUAAUGCAUUUUUUCUAUACCUAUUGAUCAAGAGACACAGCUACUUAUGGUUUUUACUUUUUGAUGGCUGUUAGUUUACCUGGACACGCUUACCCAAGGCUAUGUGGAUUCCCCAGCUGUUUAUUCGUUGGUACUCCAACAUACUCUAAAAAACAUGGACCAUCGGUCAUGGUUCCGUCCUUUUUGCAAAAUGUUGAUGAUUUGUUGUUAUGUAGCCCUAGCUAUGAGGCAAGCACUGUGGAUACUGUCAGCAACUGUAGGUCACAAGGUUGUUAAACACAAAAUGCAAUUGUGUAAAUCAAAGGUUGAAUACUUAGGUUUUUUUCUGGCUUUAGGCACCAGACAAUUGAGUCCAAAACGUAUUGAGGUCAUUCAGAGGAUUCCUACACCCACUAUUCGGAAGGAGUUGCUCACCUUCCUCGGCAUGAUUAAUUACUGCCACCAAUGGAUCCCUGAAUGCUCCCAUUAUGACUCAAUCCUAAGGGAGGCUGUACGUUCUGACAGCCCUGAAAAUGUCUGCUGGUCACCAGACAUGCUAGCUGCAUAUAUUGCCCUUACAGUUGUUAUUGUGCAAGCCCAGGCUUUAGGACUACCUGUGUAUUGUAAACCAUUUCAUUUGUAUGCUUGGGACAAUUGUAAAACCAUGGCCGUAGUCUGUGCACAAGAGCAAGGAGGCGGUAUGCGUCCCAUAGCAUUCUUUUCCAAAGUAGUUCGAGCUCUGGUACAGGGUAUGCCGGCGUGUCUCAGAGCAUUGAUAGCAUGUGCAAUGGCUGUUGAAACUGCUACUACUAUCACACUAGGGCAUCCUACAAUACUUCAUGCCAGUCACCAGGUCACUCAGCUGAUGACAAAUCUCACCACACAACACAUGACAGCCCAGCGCUUCAGUGGUUAUGAGAUUUUUUUUUUAAUACCCAGAAUCUGUCUUUUGGAUUAAAUAAGGUUUAGAGAAAGAUCAAAAUGAUCUGUUCUCUAAAGAGGGGAGAAUAGGCAUACUUGAAGAAUAGGCAUACUUGAAGCAAGCUGCUUUAUUUUCAUCAGUCAGGCACAUAGCAAGCACCAUUCAAUUCUUCAUGAAUUCAUUUUAUAUUAGGAAUCUCAGGCAGCAUGUACAGUCUUUUGUAAGUUCGUGUGAACGCUGCUCUUUUUACACACUUACAGAUUGAUUUUAUUCAUGUAUCCAAAAUUGGUAAGAAACAGCAAUACUUACUGGUCAUAGUUAAUCAGUUUAGUAGAUGGCAUGAGGCCUUUGUGACAUCUAGGGAAGAUGCUAGUGAAGAUUAUUGUUACUGAAAUUAUUCCCAGGUAUGGCUGCCCUCUGCAGAUUGGCUCUGAUAAUGGCCCGGUAUUUGCAAGUGGGGUUGCCCAGGAACUUGCUAAAUUCUUGCAAGUUACCUGGCAGUUUUAUAUACCCUAUCAUCCACAGAAUACAGGGGUAGUUGAAAGGAUGAAUAGGACUAUUAAGGAAAAGCCCAGAAUUUACCCAGGAACAUGGGUAAAUUGGACUAGAUAUCUACCAGCUAUUUUAGCUGAGAUAAGAGUGAUUCCUCACAAGGUGACUAAAUUAUCUCCAUCUGAGAUUUUUGAUGGGAUGACCUUUUCCCACACCCUGGGCCAGGGAACCGCUUGUUAUAAUGUCUGGGGAUUUACAGCUAAUACAAGAACAAUAUGUACAGGAAUUGUUGAUAAAACCGAAUGGUAUGUAUGACAAUGUUUCUUCGCAGUUUUCCCUUACCUUCACAGGAACCUACUCAUUCACACCAGCUCGGUGACAAGGUGUAUAUCCGUCAGCUGAACAGGACCAAGAAAGGAGGAUACCCUUUUGGACCACCUGCUACUGUGAUUGCUGUACCCAUAACCGCUGUCCUCACAGAUUCCCAUGACAUCUGGAUUCACGCAUCCCGAGUGAAGCUGUGUCCAAAGAGGGGAACCAAGGAAGACAACACCACUCCUCGCUCGGAAACAGAAGAAUUUCUCCUCAGCGAAGCAUCAUGGCUUUUACACCAUAUUGUAGAUUGAGAGGAUCAUACGUACCUGAGACCAAGAUUAUGUUGUGCGCUAUGCUUUCUGGAGUUGUUAUACUCCCUCUGAUAUUGUUCCUUGAAUGCCAUUAUGAGUACAAGUCAAUGGCAAGUUCUGGAAAAAGACUCUGACAUGAUGAACAAUUCUUCAAUACCCCCAGCCCAAUUAGGCCUUAGCCCCUCAUCUAGCAUUCGUCACACAUGCCCCCUCAAGAACCUUUCUCCACCACCUUUCUAUCAGCAUGUAAUAUGCAAUCAUUCAUUGACUGAACGCAUUUGGAUGAAUUGGACAAAUAGUAACCCUUAUAAGUACCAGUUACCCAUAUGAAAUCUGUCUACAGCUAAUUAAACCGAUGCAUUAUGUUUGUUUGAAGGUUCACAGAAAAUUGUUAGAUCUUAUAACGCAGAAAUGUGCACAGUUAAGGUUGCAUAUCAAUGUAAACAGAUAGGCCUUAUUACUUUUAAUAAUGAUUAUAUAACUGGUAUCAUUAAUUGGAGAAGGGGACAAAUGUUAGUCAUUAUGAACAACACUACAAUUGAGAACUAUACACUACCUUAUAUUUUUACACCUUAUUACUGUCCUUUAUCCUCUACCAUAUAACCAAAAGUCAACAACGACACACACACACCUAUUCCGUCCACAUGUAUUAAUACAACUGCCUUCUUACAAGCUGUACAUGUGUCAUUAAAAAUCACUACUCCUGUUGUAACAUUAUGUAACACAACAAACAAAAGGCAGAAAAGGGAAUGGUAUGACACACUGUUAGGAGGUGCUGGAACCACUAUGGGUAUACUAAAUAGUUAUAGAUAUGGAGACCCUCAAGAAUAAGUUAAACACAGCCAGCAUGUAUAUAGGGACUGGUUUUCAUGCUACUGCAAAUUGGGCUCCAACUGUUGUUAAAUCACAGGUUAUAGGAUUGGAUUUAGAUAAAUCAAUGUAUAAUUAUUUAGAUAAUUUAACUGUUGCAGCUAUGAAAUUCACUACAGGUCUAAGUAACUGGAGUACUUGUGCCAUCAGGUAUUUAUGGAUACAACAACAAGGAUUGGCAUUAGAAAACACACUAAUGAUUCCUCAACUAGAGAAGAUUAGAGGAAAGCGUAACCUCACAGAUAAUGAAUGGUUACUUCUAAAACCCCAAUCCACUAAAUGCAAUGGAUGGUUAACUGGUAAUGUUUCACAUUUUUCACGCUCAUGCUAUUUUACAUUAUAUCAUACAUCAUCAAAGGAUGUUAAAUUAGCUUGUCAAUUUAACACAUUACCAGUACCAGUUUAUGAUCUUUUUGCCAAGAAUUUAACCUGGUGGGCACCCACAUACACAGGGGACUAUAUUUUCCCAAAGAUAACACACACAGGUAGCCACGCAUAUCCUAAAAGGAGAACUCCUUAAGGUGAGUUCACAAAUUCAGAAUGAUUUAGCCCAUCAUUGGUACGAUGCUUCACUGGUUGGUCCCCUACUGGAUCUCAGAUAAUGAAAUCAUUCUUCUAUCAUUUUGUUAUUAUAGUCCUGAUUUUAUUGUGUAUGAUUUUAUAUAACUGUCACCUUAGUUGUACAUUGAGGAAGUGAGUACAGAAAUUAAUCCAUAAUGCAGAACAGAAACAAUUAGAAAUUCUCCUCUCUGCCACUGUAGAGUAUCAACCCAUUUUUAAACUAGGCCUUAGGAAUUACCACAUGGGAAUCGAGGUGAAGAAAUUAAUGAAAGUCCCGCAGGGAGUGACUAGCACCCCUGAAAAUACCAUGUGGAAGUUUCUCUGUCCUGGUAAGAUUUUAUCGAUAAGAUGAGCAAUUGUUUUAUUGCUCAAAGAGGGGAAUGUAAGAAUAUUAAAUAGUUAACUUGUUUAUAUGUAUUUUAUGCUUUUAUAAGGUUUAUAACAUGAUUAUUG
rnacentral:lncRNA from 1 species